rnacentral:rRNA from 1 species
UGUGCCAGCCGCCGCGGUAAUACGUAGGGUGCGAGCGUUGUCCGGAAUUACUGGGCGUAAAGGGCUCGUAGUGGUUUGUCGCGUCGUCUGUGAAAUUCCGGGGCUUAACUCCGGGCGUGCAGGCGAUACGGGCAUAACUUGAGUACUGUANGGGUAACUGGAAUUCCUGGUGUAGCGGUGAAAUGCGCAGAUAUCAGGAGGAACACCGAUGGCGAAGGCAGGUUACUGGGCAGUUACUGACGCUGAGGAGCGAAAGCAUGGGUAGCGAACAGGAUUAGAUACCCUGGUAGUC